rnacentral:rRNA from 1 species
CGAGAAGUCACGACUUCGGUGGUGACGGAGAGUGGCGCACGGGUGCGUAACACGUAGCUGACCUGCCCUUUGCAGGGGGAUAACACAGCGAAAGUUGUGCUAAUACCGCGUAGGCUGGUUCUAGUUAGAGAAGGAUCAGUAAAGGAUUUAUCGGCAAAGGAGGGGGCUGCGGUCCAUCAGCUCGUUGGUGAGGUAACGGCUCACCAAGGCGAAGACGGAUAGGGGGCCUGAGAGGGUGACCCCCCACACUGGAACUGAGACACGGUCCAGACUCCUUCGGGAGGCAGCAGUAAGGAAUAUUGCACAAUGGGCGCAAGCCUGAUGCAGCAACGCCGCGUGAGGGAAGAAGGGUUUCGGCUCGUAAACCUCUUUUCUGUGGGAAGAGCAAGGACGGUACCACAGGAAUAAGUCUCGGCUAACUACGUGCCAGCAGCCGCGGUAAAACGUAGGAGGCGAGCGUUAUCCGGAAUUACUGGGCGUAAAGCGCACGUAGGCGGCGACUCAAGUGGUGCGUGAGAGCUCCCGGCUCAACUGGGAGAGGACGUACCAAACUGAGUAGCUAGAGAGAGAUAGAGGUCGACAGAAUUCCGGGUGGAGUGGUGAAAUGCGUAGAGAUCCGGGGGAAUACCAGAGGCGAAGGCGGUCGGCUGGGUCUUAUCUGACGCUGAGGUGCGAAAGUGUGGGGAGCGAACGGGAUUAGAAACCCCGGUAGUCCACACCGUAAACGAUGCAUACUAGUUGUUAGGUGCCUACGGGCGCUGAGUGACGAAGCCAACGCGUUAAGUAUGCCGCCUGGGGAGUACGGUCGCAAGGCUAAAACUCAAAGGAUUUGACGGGGGCCCGCACAAGCAGCGGAGCGUGUGGUUUAAUUCGAGGCUACGCGAAGAACCUUACCUGGGCUUGACAUAUAGGUAGUAUCUGGCGGGAAACCGCUGGAGACCUUCGGGGAGCUUAUAC